GCCCGGAUGGUGAAACAGGUAGACACAAGGGACUUAAAAUCCCUCGGCCAUUGCGGCUGUGCCGGUUCGAUUCCGGCUCCGGGUACCA
rnacentral:tRNA from 1 species